UACGUAGGGUGCAAGCGUUGUCCGGAAUUAUUGGGCGUAAAGAGCGUGUAGGCGGCCCCGUUAGUCCGCUGUGAAAGUCCAGGGCUCAACCCUGGAAUGCCGGUGGAAACUGCGGGGCUAGAGUCCGGAAGGGGCGAGUGGAAUUCCUGGUGUAGCGGUGAAAUGCGCAGAUAUCAGGAGGAACACCAAUGGCGAAGGCAGCUCGCUGGGACGUGACUGACGCUGAGACGCGAAAGCGUGGGGAGCAAACAGG
rnacentral:rRNA from 1 species